GAUGAACGCUGGCGGCGUGCCUAAUACAUGCAAGUCGAGCGAACAGACGAGGAGCUUGCUCCUCUGACGUUAGCGGCGGACGGGUGAGUAACACGUGGAUAACCUACCUAUAAGACUGGGAUAACUUCGGGAAACCGGAGCUGAUACCGGAUAAUAUAUUGAACCGCAUGGUUCAAUAGUGAAAGACGGUUUUGCUGUCACUUAUAGAUGGAUCCGCGCCGCAUUAGCUAGUUGGUAAGGUAACGGCUUACCAAGGCAACGAUGCGUAGCCGACCUGAGAGGGUGAUCGGCCACACUGGAACUGAGACACGGUCCAGACUCCUACGGGAGGCAGCAGUAGGGAAUCUUCCGCAAUGGGCGAAAGCUUGACGGAGCAACGCCGCGUGAGUGAUGAAGGUCUUCGGAUCGUAAAACUCUGUUAUUAGGGAAGAACAAAUGUGUAAGUAACUAUGCACAUCUUGACGGUACCUAAUCAGAAAGCCACGGCUAACUACGUG
rnacentral:rRNA from 1 species